rnacentral:tRNA from 1 species
GGCCUGCUAGCUCAGUCGGUUAGAGCGUCGUGCUAAUAACGCGAAGGUCGUCUGUUUGAUCCCUGCGCAGGCCA